GGUACAAAUCCGGAAGCGGCUUCCGCGCGGGAGAGCGGCGGCUGCUCCAGCAUCCAGAGCAAGGAAGGAGCCGGAGCGGCGUCAGUGGCGCGUGUCCCACCGGGCCUCCGAGAGCGCGGCGCCACAGAUGAAGGGAAGGUUUCCAGGAAGCAUCUAAGAAUACAUCAGGGUCCUCUGCAAUCUACUCUACUCUAGCAGGAGUAGGAUUAGCAUUCAUCCUCUGUUUUGUCUGAGUCUUGCAGUGGCAGAAAAAACUGCUACAGGGAGUUCUGCCACAGUUGCUUAAGAGAGAUAAAAAGUGGGAGGCAAAUCCAAGUUUGAAGAAUGGCUAGCCAACAAUUCCAAAGGUGAUAAGAAGCAGGAAGCCUGUCUUAAGGCAUUCCUGCUGUCUCUUGGCAAGCAAAGAAUCCUAGCUCCAGUUAUAAAUGGGCAGCCCCCUGUGGUGUAACCUCUUAUGCCUGCAGUGAGGGUCCUACAGCCUGUUUAUUGAUUUGUUUUGUCCCUAUGUAGGCUGUCCUUGUCCUGUUAAGGCAACUUGACCUCACCUAUAAUAGCUGGUGAUAGUCUCAGAUCAAAUUUUUUUUUUAAUUAAAUGCAGAUGAUACCAGACUGUCAAAAAGAUCUCUAGCCAGGGCUUCUAACAACAUUGGAUGUGCUGCUGCUCCUGUGGGACUGGUUUCAGCAAGAGAAUGUAUGAAAUUAUGGCAAUUCCUCUGUAAUUAAAGGAGGAGGGCUGGGUGUGAGACUUUAGCCUGGAAGACCAUGGAACCACAAACAAGUUGCAGCAGGGAACCCCCCCCCCAGGCAAGCGGAAAAGAGGCUGUCCUUUCAUACCCAAUGGUUAAUGUGUGUCUUUCUUGAGUCUGAAAGGAAUAAAUCUUGUUCCACCAAUGUUUUUUCCUGCCUAGCAAGCACAUUCAGUAUGUGAUGUCAUGAGCCCUUAAUGUGCACACUUAAGUUUUGCAAAGUAGCUGUCAGAACUAACUGCCUAAAGAGACUGGGUUACCCUUGUUGUCAUUUAAUUACUCAACAGCUGGCCUUUCAUAUUGUUGUGGGCUGGGAUUUGGGUGCCUGAUCCCCAUGGGCUCUUUGGAAAAUCCCAGCAGAGAGCUUGUCAGAUACAAUUUAAACAGGAUCACAUCAGUCAGUCCUGGGAGCUGAGAUAUCCAUAAACUAUAUGAUAUAUCUCAUAGAGUGAUCACACAGGGCUUUAUUCUCUUUUAUAGAUAGUCAACGGGAGAGCAUCAACUUACAGAUGCCGAAAAUGGCCUCCUUAAAACAGAACCCCAUUAAACAUUUAUAAUAUAGACUUAUAGAGAGAGGACCCCCCCCCCCC